rnacentral:rRNA from 1 species
GAAAGUAAAGAAGGGCGCAUGGCGGAUGCCUUGGCUCUCGGAGGCGAUGAAGGACGUGAUAAGCUGCGAUAAGCUUUGGGGAGGUGCAAAUGACCUUUGAUCCAGAGAUUUCCGAAUGGGACAACCCAAUAUCUUGAAGAGGUAUUAUCCAACGUUGUUGGAGGCUAACGCAGGGAACUGAAACAUCUUAGUACCUGCAGGAAAAGAAAAUAAACAAUGAUUCCCCCAGUAGUGGCGAGCGAACGGGGAACAGCCCAAACCAUCCAUGUUACGGCAUGGGUGGGGUUGUAGGACUACGCCGUUGCAUGAAGACAUCAGAGAAGAACUUUCUGGAAAGAAAGACCAUAGAGCAUGACAGUUGCGUAUUCGAAUGUUGUCGAAGCAUAGUAGUAUCCUGAGUAGCGCGGAGCACGAGGAAUUCUGCGUGAAUCUGCCGGGACCAUCCGGUAAGGCUAAAUACUCCCGAGAGACCGAUAGCGAACCAGUACCGUGAGGGAAAGGUGAAAAGCACUUCGAACAGAAGAGUGAAAUAGUUCCUGAAACCGUGCGCCUACAAGCGGUCGGAGCUCGUUAAUGAGUGACGGCGUGCCUUUUGCAUAAUGAACCUACGAGUUGCCUUUGCCGGCAAGGUUAAGUGUGACGACACACGUAUCCGAAGCGAAAGCGAGUCUGAACAGGGCGUAUAGUCGGCAGUGGCAGACGCGAAACCAAGUGAUCUACCCUUGGCCAGGUUGAAGGCUGGGUAACACCAGCUGGAGGACCGCACCAAUAAGCGUUGAAAAGCUUCUGGAUGAGCUGAGGGUAGGGGUGAAAGGCUAAUCAAACUUGGAGAUAGCUCGUACUCCCCGAAAUGCAUUUAGGUGCAGCCUUGCGGGUUACUGAUGUGAGGUAGAGCGACUGAUAAGAUGCGAGGGCUUCACCGCCUAUCAAGUCUUGACAAACUCCGAAUGCGCAUCAGUUCUACCGCAGGAGUGAGGGCAUGGGUGCUAAGGUCCGUGCCCGAGAGGAGAAGAAUCCGGACCACCUGCUAAGGUCCCGAAAUGACAGCUAAGUUAAACUAACGAAGUCUGACUGCUAAGACAGCUAGGAUGUUGGCUUGGAAGCAGCCAUUCAUUUAAAGAGUGCGUAACAGCUCACUAGUCGAGGAGUCGGGCGUGGAUAAUAAUCGGGUAUUAAGUUGUCUACCGAAGCAGUGGGAUCAUUAAUAUGAUCGGUAGGGGAGCAUUCCAGUCAGCGUCGAAGGCGUACCGUGAGGUAUUCUGGAGCGUCUGGAAAAGCAAAUGUAGGUAUAAGUAACGAUAAAGGGGGCGGGAAACCCCCUCGCCGAAAGACUAAGGUUUCCUGAUCAACGCUAAUCGGAUCAGGGUCAGUCGGGUCCUAAGGCUCAGCCGAACGGCGAUGCCGAUGGCAGAAACGGUUAAUAUUCCGUUACUACCUUCAGGAGUGACGUGGAGACGCAGUAGUGACAGUGCCGCCAUCUGACGGAAUAGAUGGUUGAAGGGUGUAGGAGUCGAUCAUGGCAGGCAAAUCCACCAUGAGAUCCGAACCUGAUAGUAUGCCGCGUCCUUCGGGACAAGGCAAUAGUGCGCGUAAGCAUGCUGCCGAGAAAAUCCGCUAAACUUAAUCCUGCAGGUACCCGUACCGCAAACGGACACACGUAGUCGGGAUGAAUAUUCUAAGGCGCUUGAGUGAUUCACGGUUAAGGAACUAGGCAAACUGACCCUGUAACUUCGGGAUAAAGGGUCCCUACCCUUUUAUGGGAGGGCGCAGAGAAUCGGUCCAGGCAACUGUUUAACAAAAACACAGGGCUGUGCCAAAUCGAAAGAUCCAGUAUACAGCCUGACACCUGCCCGGUGCUGGAAGGUUAAGAGGAGAUGUCAUCGAUAAGAGAAGCGUUGAAUUGAAGCCCCAGUAAACGGCGGCCGUAACUAUAACGGUCCUAAGGUAGCGAAAUUCCUUGUCGGGUAAGUUCCGACCUGCACGAAUGGUGUAAUGAUCUGGACGCUGUCUCAACCGUGAGCUCAGUGAAAUUGUAGUAUCGGUGAAGAUGCCGAUUACCCGCGAUGGGACGAAAAGACCCCGUGAACCUUUACUAUAGCUUAUCAUUGAAUCUGGGCACGUGAUGUGUAGGAUAGGUCGGAGGCUUUGAAGCAGGUACGCCAGUAUUUGUGGAGCCGCUGUUGAAAUACGACCCUUUAUUUGUUUGGAUUCUAACCCGUGGAACGGGGACAUUGAUUGGUGGGUAGUUUGACUGGGGUGGUCGCCUCCAAAAGCGUAACGGAGGCUUCUAAAGGUGCCCUCCGGCCGAUUGGUAACCGGCCUUAGAGUGUAAUGGCAUAAGGGCGCUUGACUGGGAGACUGACAAGUCGAUCAGGUAGGAAACUAGAGCAUAGUGAUCCGGUGUUUCCGUAUGGAAGGGACAUCGCUCAAAGGAUAAAAGGUACUCCGGGGAUAACAGGCUGAUCCCUCCCAAGAGCUCAUAUCGACGGAGUGGUUUGGCACCUCGAUGUCGGCUCGUCACAUCCUGGGGCUGGAGAAGGUCCCAAGGGUUGGGCUGUUCGCCCAUUAAAGUGGCACGCGAGCUGGGUUCAGAACGUCGUGAGACAGUUCGGUCUCUAUCUAUCGUGGGCGUUGGAGUUUUGCGUGGUGCCGCCACUAGUACGAGAGGACCGUGGUGGACAGACCUCCGGUUUACCGGUUGUGCCGCCAGGCGCACCGCCGGGUAUCCGCGUCUGGAGUGGAUAAGCGCUGAAAGCAUCUAAGCGCGAAGCCCGCCGCAAGAUGAGAGCUCCUUUUUGAGGGUCGUCAGAGACGAUGACGUUGAUAGGGCGCAGGUGUAAAGGCGGCGACGCCAAAGCCGAGCGCUACUAAUUGCCCGAAACUUUCGCUC